UACAGAGGGGGCGAGCGUUGUUCGGAAUUACUGGGCGUAAAGGGCGCGUAGGUGGCCUGUUAAGUCGAACGUGAAAUCCCCGGGCUCAACCCGGGAACUGCGUCCGAGACUGGCAGGCUCGAAUCCGGGAGAGGGAUGUGGAAUUCCAGGUGUAGCGGUGAAAUGCGUAGAUAUCGGAAGGAACACCAGUGGCGAAAGCGGCUUCCUGGUCCAGCACCGACGUUCAGGCACGAAAGCGUGGGGAGCAAACAGG
rnacentral:rRNA from 1 species